rnacentral:rRNA from 1 species
UACGUAGGAUGCAAGCGUUGUCCGGAAUUACUGGGCGUAAAGGGAGCGUAGGCGGACUGUUUAGUCAGAGGUGAAAGCCCAGGGCUCAACCUUGGAAUUGCCUUUGAUACUGGCAGUCUUGAGUACGGAAGAGGUAUGUGGAACUCCGAGUGUAGAGGUGAAAUUCGUAGAUAUUCGGAAGAACACCAGUGGCGAAGGCGACAUACUGGUCCGUUACUGACGCUGAGGCUCGAAAGCGUGGGGAGCAAACAGG